rnacentral:rRNA from 1 species
UACGUAGGGUGCGAGCGUUAAUCGGAAUUACUGGGCGUAAAGCGCGCGCAGGCGGCCUUUUAAGUCUGAUGUGAAAGCCCACGGCUCAACCGUGGAAGGUCAUUGGAAACUGAAAGGCUUGAGUACAGAAGAGGAAAGCGGAAUUCCACGUGUAGCGGUGAAAUGCGUAGAGAUGUGGAGGAACACCAGUGGCGAAGGCGGCUUUCUGGUCUGUAACUGACGCUGAGGCGCGAAAGCGUGGGGAGCAAACAGG